AUUUCCCAUGACGUAAGUCAGUAAGAUCCCUUGAAGAACACGAGGUUGAUAGGUGAGAGGUGUAAGUGCAGUAAUGUAUUCAGCUUACUCAUACUAAUAGAUCGAGGGCUUAAUCAA
rfam:Proteiniclasticum ruminis strain ML2 genome assembly, contig: Ga0073291_107